CAGUCGCCGCGGGAAUACGGAGGGUGCAAGCGUUAAUCGGAAUUACUGGGCGUAAAGCGCACGCAGGCGGUCUGACAAGACAGAUGUGAAAUCCCCGGGCUCAACCUGGGAACUGCAUUUGUGACUGGCAAGCUAGAGUCUGGCAGAGGGGGGUGGAAUUCCGCGUGUAGCAGUGAAAUGCGUAGAGAUCUGGAGGAAUACCGGUGGCGAAGGCGGCCCCCUGGACAAAGACUGACGCUCAGGUGCGAAAGCGUGGGGAGCAAACAGGAUUAGAUACCCCAGUAGUCCCUGUCUCUUAUAC
rnacentral:rRNA from 1 species